UCAUCUGUUGCCAGCAUUUAAGGUGGGGACGUCAGAUGAGACUGCCGGUGACAAACCGGAGGAAGGUGGGGACGACGUCAAGUCAUCAUGGCCCUUAUGCCCUCGGGCUACACACGUGCUACAAUGGCCGGUACAGAGUGAAGCGAAACCGCGAGGUGAAGCAAAACGCAGAAAGCCGGUCUCAGUACGGAUUGGAGUCUGAAACUCGACUUCAUGAAGUUGGGAUCGCUAGUAAUCGCGCAUCAGCAUGGCGCGGUGAAUACGUUCCCGGGCCUU
rnacentral:rRNA from 1 species